UACAGAGGGUGCGAGCGUUAAUCGGAAUUACUGGGCGUAAAGCGUGCGUAGACGGCUAUCUAAGUCGCGUGUGAAAGCCCCCGGCUCAACUGGGGAGGGUCACGCGAUACUGAUCGACUCGAAGGCAGGAGAGGGUAGUGGAAUUCCCGGUGUAGUGGUGAAAUGCGUAGAUAUCGGGAGGAACACCAGUGGCGAAGGCGACUACCUGGCCUGUUUCUUGACGCUGAGGCGCGAAAGCUAGGGGAGCAAACGGG
rnacentral:rRNA from 1 species